GCCAGGCAUGGUGGCCCACACCUGUAAUCCUAGCUACUUGGGAGGCUGAGGCAGGAGAAUCACUUGAACCCAGGAGGCGGAGGUUGCAGUGAGCCAAGAUUGUGCCACUGCACUCCAGCCUGGGUGACAGAGUGAGACUCUGUCUCAA
rnacentral:SRP_RNA from 1 species